UACGUAGGGUGCAGGCGUUAAUCGGAAUUACUGGGCGUAAAGCGUGCGCAGGCGGUUUCUUAAGUCAGAUGUGAAAGCCCCGGGCUUAACCUGGGAACUGCGUUUGAAACUGGGAGACUUGAGUGUGGCAGAGGGGGGUGGAAUUCCACGUGUAGCAGUGAAAUGCGUAGAUAUCGGGAGGAAUACCUAUGGCGAAAGCAGGCUUCUGGUCCAUCACUGACGCUGAUCUGCGAAAGCUAGGGGAGCAAACAGG
rnacentral:rRNA from 1 species